rnacentral:misc_RNA from 1 species
CUUGGCUACAUCCGCCCCUCUUAGAUUUUUUUAUUUUAAGACAAAAGGUUGAAUUUCGACCAUUUCAUUUAUCUUCUUUCUUAUUUGCUUAUUUGUGAGAUAUUUUUAUCUCAGAGAUAAAAAGAUUAAGCAAAAAUUCGAAUUUUUCUCGUUUUAAUUUCAAAUUUAAAUGUCAAAAAAACUUCGCAAAAGAUGGAUAGAUAAAUGAAAAUAAAAAUGCAUAUAGAACGAACAAAUAAUACUCAAUCAUCAAUCAACCCCUAAGAAAAAGAAUCCCCUUUAUUUCUUUUUCGGUAAUGUAACGAAUAAAAGUCUAUGUAAGUACAAUAUGACUAAAAAAAGUAGUAGUAAUUAAAAAGAAAAUAAAGGAGCAAUAACGCCCUCUUGAUAGAACAAGAAAGAGUUUAUUGCUCCUUUUUUUUUUUUU